rnacentral:tRNA from 1 species
GGGGGUAUAGCUCAACGGUAGAGCAGUAGCCUUUUAAGCUAUUGAUGGGGGUUCGAUUCCCUCUACCCUCACCA